rnacentral:rRNA from 1 species
AAUACGUUCCCGGAGCUUGUACACACCGCCCGUCACACCACGAAAGUUGGGGGUGCCCGACGUGCCUACUUUUGCUAGGCCCUAAGGCAAACUCAGUGAUUGGGGUG